rnacentral:rRNA from 1 species
UACGUAGGGGGCUAGCGUUGUCCGGAAUCAUUGGGCGUAAAGCGCGUGUAGGCGGUCCGGUAAGUCCGCUGUGAAAGUCGGGGGCUCAACCCUCGGAUGCCGGUGGAUACUGUCGGGCUUGAGUACGGAAGAGGCGAGUGGAACUCCUGGUGUAGCGGUGGAAUGCGCAGAUAUCAGGAAGAACACCAACGGCGAAGGCAGCUCGCUAGGACGGUACUGACGCUGAGACGCGAAAGCGUGGGGAGCGAACAGG